AAAAAAUAUAUAAUCAUUGGCACUUGACACUAAUCAAUGACUUUUGAAUAUAGAUACAGUCCAACCAAGCCACCAGCUAUUGCAUGGUAAGUCGAGGAGAUAAACAUUCUAACCAUUGUUUAUCAUUAUCAUGCACAUUAUUAUUAAGAUGAAAUGGGAAAGUACACCAAAGUACACCAAACCCCAGAAAACAUUUCUAAUAAGUAACUUCCAUGAACAGAUAUGGGAAUAUCUAAAGUCGUGGAGCUGCUUUCCAAAGUGCUGGAAGAAAAUAAAUUGAUGAAAGCGGAAAUUACCAACCUGGGGAGUGAAGUGAGGGCGCUUAGGAGAGAGAUGGUGAGGCCGGUAGCACCAGAAGCUGCCGCUUCGUCCAUCAAGCUGCCUCUGAGGACAAUGGAGGAGUUUCAAUUAGCAGAGGCUGUUAUGAGAGAAACCCCCUGCGAAAAACAAAAGAUGAUCUUAACAUUCAGUCUAAUUGGAGGGCACACUGCAGAAGAGCCCGUAAGAAGGAUGUUGCAGAGUGGCCUAACAAAUAACCUGGCGUGUCGCUUCAACUGGGCAGGGAAAGGCUUCAAGGAAGCCUUUAAAAGCACUGUCCUUAGUGAUGUACUGUUCGCUGCACUCCAAUAACAGCUGCCAGGGACCACCCAUAUUGUUUUUUCAGGGACACUGAAGAAGUGGCUUAAAUAUGCACCGGAGAGAGAGGGAGGUGGAGGGAGGCGAACAAAUGAACGCGAUCAGGUAGGCCUAUCGCUUGUUCCACACACCAUGCGUCCUUCGACGGUAUGAGCGUCGCGAGUCACGAGUGCGACACUGACGCCCCGUGCCCACUACCUCCGUCAGUUGUCCGUUGCCCAUUGACUUUGAAUGGGGACGGUCGCGCAAUGCAUUGUGGAUCCGUCCGUUGACUUGGAGCGUUCGCCACCGUCAAAAAGUUGAAAAAUGUUCAACUUUUUCGGCAGCGACGGAUCCGUCAUCCAAUCAGAUCGCGUAUGCAAAUUUAAGCACUGUGACGCGACUCGGGCUCUGACGAUACUGGAAAGCGGGAAAGCGGGUAAUCUUGCCUCGCAACAAGCAGGAAGAAGCGGGAAGAACCCGGCGAACCGAUUUGAUUGGCUGACGGAUGCAUCUGCAAAGACUACUCCCCCAUCCGUCAGCCACGCCUUCUGACGUCCGUUGACUGACGGUGCAGUGGGCACGAGGCGUGACGCCCCGUGCCCACUACCUCCGUCAGUUGACCGUUGCCCAUUGACUUUGAAUGGGGACGGACGCGCAAUGCAUUGUUGAUCCAUCCGUUCAGUUGGAGCGUUCGCCACCGUCAGAAAGUUGAAAAAUUUUCAACUUUUUCGGCAGCGACGGUUCCGUCAUCCAAUCAGAUCGCGUAUGCAAAUGUAAGCACUGUGACGCGACUCGGGCUCUGACGAUACUGGAAAGCGGGAAAGCGGGUCAUCUUGCCUCGCAACAAGCAGGAAGAAGCGGGAAGAACCCGGCGAACCGAUUUGAUUGGCUGACGAAUG
rnacentral:lncRNA from 1 species